CUUCAUCUCUCAAAGACCCCUAAAACCUAGCCGCCACUACUCCCAAACCUAUCUUCCGCCGGCGGCCAACCACCAUUUGGUCUCAACUUUUCACUAGAUACUCCCCAACUCUUCCUCAAUCCAAAUCUCUUAUCCAUUUUCUUUUAAUCCGUCUUAAGCAUGACCAGUAAUAGAUCUAAAAUUUCAAAACGAGGAGCUUAAACUGACUCUUCCUUGUUUCAUUCUCAAGAGCUGACUCGUUUUGAUUCGAAACCUACACUGACAGAUUUCUCUUGAUGAGUGCAAUCGAUCGAUGUUAGUUUUGAUUCAUUCCAAAAUUAUAAGAAUACGGUCAAGUUAUCGUCGGCAGGUUUGAAGUUGACAUUCUUAUGUCCUAGCAGUCGUUUGCCUUAGUAGACUGGUUUGCAAAGCUAGCCCAAUGGCUAUUCUUUUGUAAAUCAGGGUGUGAAGGAGAAGGAAGCAUAUGGCUCAGAAAUGGCUACUCUCGUGAAGGGUUGAUGUAAUAGAAUGCCUAAGACUAUAUUUUUUUUAACUUAGUAAUUGUAUCAUUCAUGUUAGGUUUUCGCUGUAAUGUAAAAUUAUUAACUCUUUAGUUAUGUAUUCCCUGAAAAUUGGCAGAAUUAUCUAGUCAAAAUUAGAUUCAUGUUAGCAUUAAUGA